UCUCCCAGUGUGUUUGAAGAGACCAGAUCGGUGCUCUUCCCAGAGCCUCGAGAUGAAAGGUUUUGGCCUGGGGCCCCAAAUACCAGCAGCCCCUGUGAACUGCUGGAUGACCGUGGCGGUGGAGGCGGAGUGAUCUGUGCAGGGGGCUGCCACAUCCAGGCCCGGGAAGGAGUGGAUUCUUCCUGUACAAAAGCCACUGUGGUGCCUCCAGCUUCCUGCCUGCUUUGGCUGGAUGCCUUCCGUCCGUCCCUGGCCAGCUGUCAUACCAGGAAAGCAAACAGAGAGCGAGAGAGAGAGAGAAGGCCCCCGCAACAGAGCGGACGGAAGUGUUGUCAGCCAUAUUAAAUUCCUGAUGUUUUCCAAGACAAAUAUGGCAGGAAACCUAGAAACACGAGAUUUGCUUAAAGCCCGUCUUCCUCAAGCUGCCCGGAGAAACAGCAACAGUGGGGAGGACAAGGACGGAGCUGUGGAGAGUUUGGUGAAAAGGGGACACAGGAGAAAGCCGUCAUUAGGCUGUGAACGCUGUGACUGAAAGGAAACCAGCUGGUUCACCGUGGACGGAGGUAACUAGACGAACAUGACCUAACAGAGGUUCUUCCACGGGGUAAUUAGCUGGUAUUAACUAAUUGAACACACAGUUAGGGCCUUUUUCCCCGAAAAACACCGCACCAACAUGCAAUUCACCGAGGUAAUGUGCUGAAAGACGAGGAUUAACCUUCACGGUGUCCCCACACGAGCGUGGCUCCGUACGGUUGUGUCGUUCAAACCUUGCCCGGGGGGGGGGG